GCAGUCGACGAACUCUGGUAUUGAUUGGUGCUUGCAUCAUGAUUUACAUUUGAGUGAGUGGCGAACUGGUGAGUAACACGUGGGAAACCUGCCCAGAAGCGGGGGAUAACACCUGGAAACAGAUGCUAAUACCGCAUAACAACUUGGACCGCAUGGUCCGAGUUUGAAAGAUGGCUUCGGCUAUCACUUUUGGAUGGUCCCGCGGCGUAUUAGCUAGAUGGUGGGGUAACGGCUCACCAUGGCAAUGAUACGUAGCCGACCUGAGAGGGUAAUCGGCCACAUUGGGACUGAGACACGGCCCAAACUCCUACGGGAGGCAGCAGUAGGGAAUCUUCCACAAUGGACGAAAGUCUGAUGGAGCAACGCCGCGUGAGUGAAGAAGGGUUUCGGCUCGUAAAACUCUGUUGUUAAAGAAGAACAUAUCUGAGAGUAACUGUUCAGGUAUUGACGGUAUUUAACCAGAAAGCCACGGCUAACUACGUGCCAGCAGCCGCGGUAAUACGUAGGUGGCAAGCGUUGUCCGGAUUUAUUGGGCGUAAAGCGAGCGCAGGCGGUUUUUUAAGUCUGAUGUGAAAGCCUUCGGCUCAACCGAAGAAGUGCAUCGGAAACUGGGAAACUUGAGUGCAGAAGAGGACAGUGGAACUCCAUGUGUAGCGGUGAAAUGCGUAGAUAUAUGGAAGAACACCAGUG
rnacentral:rRNA from 1 species